GGCAAUAAGGGAGUUUCAGACAAACAAAUACGUCUGAAGAUUUUUUCCCCAAAUGUUCUUACUAUCACCCUAGUUGAUUUGCCUGGAAUAACAAAAGUGCCUGUCGGUGACCAACCCAAUGAUAUUGAAGCAAGAAUUAGAACGAUGAUUUUAUCAUAUAUCAAACAUGAAACUUGCAUAAUUUUGGCAGUCUCUCCAGCAAAUGCAGAUUUGGCAAAUUCUGAUGCUCUUCAGAUGGCAAGAAUAGCCGACCCAGAUGGUUCUCGAACAAUUGGUGUCAUCACAAAGUUAGAUAUAAUGGACAGAGGUACUGAUGCCUGCAACUUUUUAAUGGG
rnacentral:misc_RNA from 1 species